rnacentral:rRNA from 1 species
UGGGGAAUAUUGGACAAUGGGCGAAAGCCUGAUCCAGCCAUGCCGCGUGUGUGAAGAAGGUCUUCGGAUUGUAAAGCACUUUAAGUUGGGAGGAAGGGCAGUAAGCGAAUACCUUGCUGUUUUGACGUUACCGACAGAAUAAGCACCGGCUAACUCUGUGCCAGCAGCCGCGGUAAUACAGAGGGUGCAAGCGUUAAUCGGAAUUACUGGGCGUAAAGCGCGCGUAGGUGGUUCGUUAAGUUGAAUGUGAAAGCCCCGGGCUCAACCUGGGAACUGCAUCCAAAACUGGCGAGCUAGAGUAGGGCAGAGGGUGGUGGAAUUUCCUGUGUAGCGGAGAAAUGCGUAGAUAUAGGAAGGAACACCAGUGGCGAAGGCGACCACCUGGGCUCAUACUGACACUGAGGUGCGAAAGCGUGGGGAGCAGACAGG